ensembl:ncRNA F23H12.12 ncRNA
UAGAGAAUAAAUUCAAAUAGAGUAUUUGGAAAAAAGAAGUAUUCUUAUGCAGUCUUGCACUCAAUUUUUUUACUUUGACAUCGUGUAGUUCGAAUAUUUUUGGUUUUAUCAAAACUUUUUCAAGAAACGAAAUACGCGCCAACAAAU